rnacentral:lncRNA from 1 species
CUGAAGUUGUUUUGUACAUCCCUUUACCAUUUGUGACAAUUGAUGCAUCAUUAUGGACCUAUCUCACCUGAAGCGUUACCUGCAUCGUUCAAACAAACUGCCCGUCUUGUACUUCUUUGGCACACACUGUCAUUUGAGUUUUCUAAAGGAAGAAAUAAGCAGCAAAUCGCUACUACAUCUCUGUCAGAAGGAGUCUGUGGAUUCACAAUUAGAACAAUGAUAUGAUGUUCCUUUCAUUUUAUCAGCUUAGGUCAUGUUGCAUUCUUCGGGCAUGCUAGAGGUGUUCAAUCUUAUAACCUGAUGUCGAAUGAGUCAUAUAGAUCUUCCAGAUAUCACAAAAAUUUAACGAUUAUGAUGAAAGAGUCAAAAUAUAAUCUCUAUUUUCGAUUUGGAGACUUGCGGCUGAUGUCAAGUGAAUGCGCUUCCUCACUCCUAACUGAUUAUGACAACUCAAAUGGCGUUUAUCUACACGAUGACAAGUGUGCAGCAAGCUUUUCAUCAAUAAGAACCAUUCAAGUAUCAGUUUUCAUUUAAAAGAAAAGAACAUACAGCCAUCGAAUUAGUUCAGAAUUUUUUACUCCUGGGAAUUGAUCUUGGUAAGAGUUCAAGUCCUUUCUUUACUCUUUCUUGUUGAUCACUCCUUAAAGGCAGUCGCUUAAAAGCUUUAAAAAUAAUCAAUAAUCCUGCCAAACUAUGUGAUAUAUUCUAAUUUAUUAAAACGGUUUGCGAUUGAAUGAAACAUUCAAAGAAGGUAAGACUAAUCAAUUUGUGUAUGGUCAAGGUUUAUUUGAUACUUUGCAAUCAUAAGCAGACUCAAGUUUUGAGUCUAUUCAGACUAGAAUGAUUGUUUACUACCUAAGAUUUUUACAUUUAAAUACUUAAAGUAGUAUAUUGCUAUCCAAAAAUUUCCUCCAUUUUAGAUUUAGAAUUAUAAACUUUUUUUUCUGUAUUCCAGGAAAUUUGUAUUUUCAAUAAGUCGCCAAAGUACGAGACCUCUUUAUCCUCAACUUUGACAGAUCGACUCACAGAAUUGAUGUGUGCUCCUCUUCGAUAAUUAUCAUUCGUGGUUAUCAAACGAAUUGCAUUCCAAGUCGUGUAGUGGCAACUCUAACUUGUCUUUAUUAGAUCAUUGUUGAUGUCGUAUUAUAAGUAUUUUUAUGUUUCUUUGGUUUUAUUUUAAAAGAUUAAAAUUUUUUUUUAAAAAAAAAAAAAAAAAAAAUUGAGUCAAACGUCUAUUUUGUAUUUUUCUCAAAGGAAAUAAAAAGCAUAAUAUACAAGGGCCUUGGAGGAGGUCAAUGUGAAUAAAUGUAGUAUUUUUGCUGUUUCGAGAAAUACAUGUUUAAAGUUUCGAAAUUACAUGGAUCCUUAUGGCGUCACGAAAGUUCAAACUGACUUUUUCGUGAUCAAGAAGAGGACUGUAUAAGCAGACUUUUCACAGAUAUACAUGAAUACUAGUUUUACUCAAAAUCAUUAAUAUCUCAAUUUUUCAAGAAAUGCACUUAAGUAUGCACCUUGUCCUCCAAGUUUGUUAUAUAUCUAAAAAACAGAAAAUCUACAAUAUCAUAAACUGAAGUGCAUGGCUUGGGUAGUUUCACCACCAAUUUGCUGUUCUUGAAAGUUAAUGGUCUCUAUAAUUCUUUUCUCUUGCUUUUUUUUCACAGUGGGAAAAAACCAUAUUUUUUUAAAAAGCAGCUAAUCCAAAAUAAUUAGUGCUGAAUGAAGUGUAUUUUAGCAAUCACAAAUCCCCAUGAUCAGAUAAUGCGUCGUCAACUUUAAAAUGCAAGAUUCAAGAUGACUGAUGGAUGAAUUUCUGUCUUACUUAGGAAGUUAACUUAUUUGGUAUAGUUUCAAAAUAACUUCUGAAGUAUUUAAUAGGAAGGUACUUACUUGUCCAAUUUUAGCUCCAUUCUAAUUUGAGAUCAACAAGGAAUAUUUUUUGAAUUCCUCUCGUAAUAUUUAAAGUAGUUACAGCACUCUAGUCGCAAAGAGAAAGUAGUGCAGCAAUACGCUUUUUGGUGAAAUCCAUCAGCAGAGGUUUUUAUGGAAGGGAUACUUAAUUAUACAUGGACAUAUUUCAUAAUAAUUAAAAAUUAUCCAAAUUGUGACUCAAGUUCCAUCAUGCAUGUAACCUCAUUAAUCUCAAAGUGCUAUUCAAAACAAUUAGGAUGGAUCCUCUUGAUUUAAAUAAGUACCUAUGUACACUCAUAUAUCCCUCAUAAUCUUUUGGAAUCUCCUCGAUUUUCUUUUUUGUGAUUCAUAAUAAUUUCUAGCUUUGAUUCAAUUUAAUACUCUAGCAUAGAAAUAAAGUUGAAAAUCAUUUGUUGCUUUCAUGCAACGUUAUGCAAUAAAGGGUUAAAUAUGUACACCCGUAUAUCCCUCGUAAUCUUUUGGAAUCUCCUCGGUUUUCUUUUUUUGCAAUUCAUAAUCAUGCAACAUCUAGGAAAUAUUCUCUAUUCAGAUUAGCUUCCGGAGGAAUUUAACAAUUCAUCGCAUUAUUGAAUAGUAGGCUAAGAAAGGCAAAAUGUGUAAACAAUAAAUUGCCAAGUGUGAAUUUGAUCACUCCUCACAUUGUACAGAGGAAGAGAAGAGGAGAGAGAGAGAGAAAGAGGGAAAAAGGGAGAAAGGGAAGAUAAAUUGUUACAGAGCCAAUUUUUAAAACACUCAUUCAGCUAUUUUCAGCAUUCCUUCAUAUCGGCGUGCGACAAAUGUCGUUUCGUCCCAGUUCAGCGCACUGGUUUUGACCCAUUAGCUAUUCACUCGUUUGGAGGCGUUUUAUACGCGUGAAGUAAUGCGAACUGUGGAUCACUCGAUGUACCUCUGAAUUUAGACACAUGUACCUACCUAUGGAAGUUCUCAAGUCAGAAAGACCUGCUAAAGAGCAUUGUAGCCCCUGGCGCUAAUUCAGGUCAAUACGUAGGUAGAACAUUUGUUGGUGACACAGAAGUAAUUAAUGAACCAGUGCCGAAAUUUAAUAGCAAUAUCUAUUUUUGAAUUAUAGUAAAAGAAAGGCAAAAUAAAUGCGAGUAAAUGUAAUCAAUGUACCUAAUACAAAUCGAACCAAAGUGAAUACAGUAAACGCAAUUAGUACGGUUCGAAUCUUCAAAACACAUUUUCAAUCGUUUCAAAUCGCCUUCGGAUCGGCGUGCGGCAAUUGUCGUUUCUUCCAUGUUGAGCGCACUGUUUUUGACUCGUUACAUAUUCGCUCGUUUGAAGGCGUUUUAUGCGGGUAAGUACAGCGCUCUCUGUUGAAACAUAAUUGAGGCACAGUCUUACACACCUUCGAUUUUCUGUUGACAGGUCGCGCCACAUAAUAGAUCCGAGCAAGGGAAGUCUAAACGACUCCUGUUCUAGUUGGCGCUCGACUGCUGAAAAAUGCACCAAUCCUGCGAGUCACACUUCGGCGCGAAAUUUAAACGUAUUCCUUCCGUUUCGUUGUUCGCGACACAGGCAGGCCGUCAGUGAAUGUUGAAAAUGGAAGUUUUUUUAUUUUUAAUUUCUGUACGUAAAGAAUAAUAAUGUGACAAAAGAAGUUGGAUUCUCCAGUAUUUUAAGGUACAAUGAUAAGUUGUUCGGUACAUUCUUAAACUGUGUUUCUAGAACAGCAUAAUAAUGUCUCUUCGAGAGCAAAAACUCUUUUUUUCGAUCCAUCAUUCUUCAGUAGAAACCUUAGAGGUUCCAGAAGAGCAUUGAAGAGGUUUAAAGCGAUGCUUUUUAUGGGAUAAUUAUUUCUUCUCCUUACAUGGCUGGUUUUCCUGUGAAAGUUGUCCUUGUAUCAUGCUGGUGGGUUGGAAGCAUGCCUUCUUGACUUAAAUGCCCCUUUCUCAAAGCUAUUGUUAUUAAUUCGUACCUACAUAAGUAUAAUUAUGCAUUUGAGACUAUCAACACUCUAAGCCUUCUAAAAAAACUCUACAAGAAUGAUUCCACGGCUUCCCAUCAAUGAUCCUCAAUCCUCUUUUUUUGUAAUAAUACCA